GUUCCUGUGGUGUAGUGGUCAUCACACUCACCUAACACGUGAGAGGUCCUCAGUUCAAAACCGGGUGGGAACA